AUUGAACGCUGGCGGCAUGCCUUACACAUGCAAGUCGAACGGCAGCACGGGAGCAAUCCUGGUGGCGAGUGGCGAACGGGUGAGUAAUAUAUCGGAACGUGCCCGGUCGUGGGGAUAACGUAGCGAAAGCUACGCUAAUACCGCAUACGAUCUACGGAUGAAAGCGGGGGAUCGCAAGACCUCGCGCGAUUGGAGCGGCCGAUAUCAGAUUAGGUAGUUGGUGAGGUAAAGGCUCACCAAGCCGACGAUCUGUAGCUGGUCUGAGAGGACGACCAGCCACACUGGGACUGAGACACGGCCCAGACUCCUACGGGAGGCAGCAGUGGGGAAUUUUGGACAAUGGGCGCAAGCCUGAUCCAGCAAUGCCGCGUACAGGAUGAAGGCCUGGUGUAACUGCUUUGUACGG
rnacentral:rRNA from 1 species